AUGGGAAUUGUCCUUUUCAAUUCCUGCCCCAGCUAUGACCACAGGUACAGGAAGAAGCAUUCAGUGAAGAAGAACAAUAAAAGUAUAAGAAAUACCAUGAAAAAAGGAAGAAAGCAAAAAAGAAAUAUCGAAAAUCAAGAGGAAAGAUUGGACAGUCAUGUAACAAAGAUGGAACUGGGGAAGAAAGAAGAAAGAAGAGGGUUUCAUGUCCUAAGCUUCCAAUUAAACCCAUAUCUGGAGUGUUAUUUCACACAGGAAUAGGACCACUUUGAUGGAAAAGAAGCUGCAAAGCUACAGAAAUUCAAGAGAAUCAAUAUUCAGGUAUUUGGUUUCAACUACUUUCCUGUAUAUUUAAUUAUGGAUUUCUUUAUUAGGGCAAUAUUGGAUAUGGAAGGUCAUUUUGGGAAGGCUAUUCUCUUCAGACUUCUAGCAGUUGUU
rnacentral:lncRNA from 1 species